AUUUGAAGAGCUUGCUCAGAUAUGACGAUGGACAUUGCAAAGAGUGGCGAACGGGUGAGUAACACGUGGGAAACCUACCUCUUAGCAGGGGAUAACAUUUGGAAACAGAUGCUAAUACCGUAUAACAAUAGCAACCGCAUGGUUGCUACUUAAAAGAUGGUUCUGCUAUCACUAAGAGAUGGUCCCGCGGUGCAUUAGUUAGUUGGUGAGGUAAUGGCUCACCAAGACGAUGAUGCAUAGCCGAGUUGAGAGACUGAUCGGCCACAAUGGGACUGAGACACGGCCCAUACUCCUACGGGAGGCAGCAGUAGGGAAUCUUCCACAAUGGGCGAAAGCCUGAUGGAGCAACGCCGCGUGUGUGAUGAAGGGUUUCGGCUCGUAAAACACUGUUGUAAGAGAAGAAUGACAUUGAGAGUAACUGUUCAAUGUGUGACGGUAUCUUACCAGAAAGGAACGGCUAAAUACGUGCCAGCAGCCGCGGUAAUACGUAUGUUCCAAGCGUUAUCCGGAUUUAUUGGGCGUAAAGCGAGCGCAGACGGUUAUUUAAGUCUGAAGUGAAAGCCCUCAGCUCAACUGAGGAAUUGCUUUGGAAACUGGAUGACUUGAGUGCAGUAGAGGAAAGUGGAACUCCAUGUGUAGCGGUGAAAUGCGUAGAUAUAUGGAAGAACACCAGUGGCGAAGGCGGCUUUCUGGACUGUAACUGACGUUGAGGCUCGAAAGUGUGGGUAGCAAACAGGAUUAGAUACCCUGGUAGUCCACACCGUAAACGAUGAGUGCUAGGUGUUUGAGGGUUUCCGCCCUUAAGUGCCGCAGCUAACGCAUUAAGCACUCCGCCUGGGGGAGUACGACCGCGAGGGUUGAAACUCAAAAGGAAUUGACGGGGACCCGCACAAGCGGGGGGAGCAUGUGGUUUAAUUCGAAGCAACGCGGAAGAACUUUACCAGGUCUUGACAUCCCUUGACAACUCCAGAAGAUGGAGCGUUCCCUUCGGGGACAAGGUGACAGGGUGGUGCAUUGGUUGUCCCCCACUCCUGUCCUUGAAAUGUUGGG
rnacentral:rRNA from 1 species